rnacentral:lncRNA from 1 species
GGGACAGUUGUGUAGGUGAAUGAAUUUGGGUCUCCAGAUGAACCAAAAGGGGUUACCAGAGGUAGUCAGAUGUCUGGCAUUUAUAUACAAACUUACUGAUAAGUAAUGGGGGUUGGGGGUCUCCAGGGAGUGAAGGUACAGGACUGAAGAGAGAAAUGGGUUCUAAAACCAAUGGGAUAGUUUCUGACAACCAGAUUUGAAGAAAUCUGUCUGCUCAAGAUGUCUCCCUAACUUCGAUCCUGGAGGUGGAAGAGUCCAGAUGUGUGAGGCGAAUCUCUGGCUCUGACUCCUGGGGCUGUGCAGGUUUACUAGACACCCUGGACUGGUUUGAAACCUCCCAAUGACGUCAAUGGGGCAGAAAAAUUGGAGCAGCGGAGACAGCUGCUAUGCACCAACUCUACUGAGGUUUUAUUCUUUUCUCCCAGGGUGACAUCUGAGACAGAUAUUAUCAAUCAAGCCCUCCUGGCUCAGCACCAAAUCAAAGGGCACAGUGUCAUUUAUCUUCCUUCUGGAUGCUGAUAAUCCUGCAUUUUAGUUGGAUCUGUGUUCCUGGAAGGGAUGCCUUAUUUCCUUAUUUCAGAUUUGCCUCAUAACUCAUCUUCUUGACCUCACAAUGUCUCAGAGAAGCUGACCUCAGGACAGGACUCAUUUUGUGCAAUAGUAGGAACAGGUGUAAAAAAUAAUACAGGUACACAGAUGGUCGAAACUUAAUUGUGAAAAACAGUUUCUAACUGGACUUCCUCUUAUGCCCUUGUCCUGCUACAGUUUAUUUUCAAAAUAGCAUCUAAGAUAACUCUUUAGAAAUGUAACUCAGGUCACACAUCGUUAACCAGCUGAACAUCUUCCAGUUGGCCUCCCUUCUAUUCACAAUGACAGCCAAAGUUCUUACAACGGUCUCCAAGACGGUAGGUACGGUCCUCAUUCCUCAUUCUCCCCAUUCCCCACACUGCUGAAGCCACAGUGACCCUUUGUGGUUACUACACCAUGCCAGGCAUGCUCCUGCCUCUGGAAUUUUUCAGUGGCUUUUCUCUCUGCCUCAUGUGCUCUUACCCAGUUUGCUCCAUAGCUCACUCCCACACUUACUCAGUCCUUGUUCAAAUGUCACCUCGUUAUCAAGGUCUUGUCUGACCACCCUACCACAACAGCACUCUCUUUAUUUUGCUUUUUUUUUCUCACAACAUCACUGUCUAAUAUACCAUAUAUUUAUUAUAUGUAUCAUCUGUACCCUUGCACUAGAAUGUGACUCCAGGAGAAAGAGGAUUUCUGUAUUUUUUCACUGCUUUAUUGUCAGUGCCUACUGUAGUGCCUAACACAAAGUAGGAACUCAAUAAAUAUUUGUUGAAAAAUGAAUUAAUUUAUAAAUGAAUAAAAGCAAAUGCCAGUCUGGAGGUUUUCAGCUAAUGAGAAAGAAGAUAGUUGGUCUAGUUCAUAAUAAAUAGAAGUGAUUUUCAUGAAAAUAAUAUUUUGGGUCAGAGUGAAUGUUCAAGGUAACUCUCUUACAGGAAAAGGCUUUAUUUUCUCAGGUUGUUUGGAGAGUAAUAUAAUUUUUGAGAAGGACUGAACAGAAAAGAGAGAGGCAUUGGUGCAUAUGUUACAUUUAAUCUAAUCUGGCAAUACAAUGACUUUUGAGAAUGCUACUAAAGUAUUGUUUUUAGAUUAUGAAGAAAAUAUAAAAUUAGCAAAGAUGAUCUAGGAAUAUUGGAUAAGGAGAAUUUUAAAGAUGACAUGUGGCUAAUUCACCACAUGAUUCACGCUAAUUUACCACCAUAACCACAGGGAGAGACUUUGCUUGUACUCUUGAAAAUGGAAAGGAAGUAACCUAUUUUCUUUUUCACUUCCAUAGAAAUAUCAAAAUGCUUAAGUUCCCUUUUAAAUAACUGCUUUAUUAAGAUACAAUUCAUAUGCUGUAAAAUUUACAUUUAUAAAAUGUCCAAUUCAAUGGUUUUUAAUAUAUUCACAGUUUACAACCAUCACCACUAUCACCCCAUGUUCAUCACCCCAAAAGGAAACUCCAUUUCCAUUUACUCCUAACUAACAGGGAGUGGCCCAUUCUGAAUAUUUCAUGUUAAUUGAAUCACACAUUGCAUGGGUUCUUUCACUUAAAGUUUUAAAAAUUCAUUCAUUUUGUAGCAUAUAUCAGUACUUUAUUGCUUUUUACUACCAA